rnacentral:tRNA from 1 species
AACAAAGAAGUAAAAUAAACCUUUAGUUUCGACCUAAAAUUAGGAAAUAAAUAUUCCCAUGUUU